rnacentral:sRNA from 1 species
CUUCUAUCAACCCUGCUUAGGAUGAGAACAAGUUGAGCAGUGCCAACGGCCAUGAAGAACGUAGCAAAAAGAGGAAAAAAAGCAAGAGCAGAAGUCGUAGUCAUGAACGAAAGAGAAGCAAAAGUAAGGAACGGAAACGAAGUAGAGAUAGAGAAAGGAAAAAGAGCAAAAGCCGUGAAAGAAAACGAAGUAGAAGCAAAGAGAGGCGACGGAGCCGCUCAAGAAGUCGAGAUCGAAGAUUUAGAGGCCGCUACAGAAGUCCUUACUCCGGACCAAAAUUUAACAGUGCCAUCCGAGGAAAGAUUGGGUUGCCUCAUAGCAUCAAAUUAAGCAGACGACGUUCCCGAAGCAAAAGUCCAUUCAGAAAAGACAAGAGCCCUGUGAGGGAACCUAUUGAUAAUUUAACUCCUGAGGAAAGAGAUGCAAGGACAGUCUUCUGUAUGCAGCUGGCGGCAAGAAUUCGACCAAGGGAUUUGGAAGAGUUUUUCUCUACAGUAGGAAAGGUUCGAGAUGUGAGGAUGAUUUCUGACAGAAAUUCAAGACGUUCCAAGGGAAUUGCUUAUGUGGAGUUCGUCGAUGUUAGCUCAGUGCCUCUAGCAAUAGGAUUAACUGGCCAACGAGUUUUAGGCGUGCCAAUCAUAGUACAGGCAUCACAGGCAGAAAAAAACAGAGCUGCAGCAAUGGCAAACAAUUUACAAAAGGGAAGUGCUGGACCUAUGAGGCUUUAUGUGGGCUCAUUACACUUCAACAUAACUGAAGAUAUGCUUCGUGGGAUCUUUGAGCCUUUUGGAAGGAUUGAAAGUAUCCAGCUGAUGAUGGACAGUGAAACUGGUCGAUCCAAGGGAUAUGGAUUUAUUACAUUUUCUGACUCAGAAUGUGCCAAAAAGGCUUUGGAACAACUUAAUGGAUUUGAACUAGCAGGAAGACCAAUGAAAGUUGGUCAUGUUACUGAACGUACUGAUGCUUCGAGUGCUAGUUCAUUUUUGGACAGUGAUGAACUGGAAAGGACUGGAAUUGAUUUGGGAACAACUGGUCGUCUUCAGUUAAUGGCAAGACUUGCAGAGGGUACAGGUUUGCAGAUUCCACCAGCAGCACAGCAAGCUCUACAGAUGAGUGGCUCUUUGGCAUUUGGUGCUGUGGCAGAUUUGCAAACAAGACUUUCCCAGCAGACUGAAGCUUCAGCUUUAGCUGCAGCUGCCUCUGUUCAGCCACUUGCAACACAGUGUUUCCAACUCUCUAACAUGUUUAACCCUCAAACAGAAGAAGAAGUUGGAUGGGAUACCGAGAUUAAGGAUGAUGUGAUUGAAGAAUGUAAUAAACAUGGAGGAGUUAUUCAUAUUUAUGUUGACAAAAAUUCAGCUCAGGGCAAUGUGUAUGUGAAGUGCCCAUCAAUUGCUGCAGCUAUUGCUGCUGUCAAUGCAUUGCAUGGCAGGUGGUUUGCUGGUAAAAUGAUAACAGCAGCAUAUGUACCUCUUCCAACUUACCACAACCUGUUUCCUGAUUCUAUGACAGCAACACAACUACUGGUUCCAAGUAGACGAUGAAGGAAGAUACAGUCCCUUAUGUAUAUAGCUUUUUUCUUUCUUGAGAAUUCAUCUUGAGUUAUCUUUUAUUUAGAUAAAAAUAAAGAGGCAAGGAUCUACUGUCAUUUGUAUACAAUUUCCUGUUACCUUGAAAAAAUAAAAAUGUUAACAGGAAUGCAGUGUGCUCAUUCUCCCUAAAUAGUAAAUCCCACUGUAUGCAAAACUGUUCUCUUGUUCUGCCUUUUAAAAUGUUCAUGUAGAAAAUUAAUGAACUAUAGGAAUAGCUCUAGGAGAACAAAUGUGCUUUCUGUAAAAAGGCAGACCAGGGAUGUAAUGUUUUUAAUGUUUCAGAAGCCUAACUUUUUACACAGCGGUUACAUUUCACAUUUCACUAAUGUUGAUAUUUGGCUGAUGGUUGAGCAGGUUUCUGAAAUACACAUUUAGUGUAUGGAAAUACAAGACAGCUAAAGAGCUGUUUGGUUAGCAUCUCAUCUUGCAUUCUGAUCAAUUGGCAAGAAAGGGAGAUUUCAAAAUUAUAAUAUUUCUUGAUGGUAUCUUUUCAAUUAAUGUAUCUGUAAAAGUUUCUUUGUAAAUACUAUGUGUUCUGGUGUGUCUUAAAAUUCCAAACAAAAUGAUCCCUGCAUUUCCUGAAGAUGUUUAAACCUGAGAGUCUGGUAGGCAAAGCAGUCUGAAAGAAAUAGGAAAUGCAGAAAUAGGUUUUGUCUGGUUGCAUAUAAUCUUUGCUCUUUUUAAGCUCUGUGAGCUCUGAAAUAUAUUUUUGGGUUACUUCAGUGUGUUUGACAAGACAGCUUGAUAUUUCUAUCAAACAAAUGACUUUCAUAUUGCAACAAUCUUUGUAAGAACCACUCAAAUAAAAGUCUCUUAAAAAGGCC